AGGUUUUUUCUAACUUUGCCUACC
rnacentral:siRNA from 1 species